rnacentral:rRNA from 1 species
CCCGUCACAUCAUGAAAGCCGGUUGUAUCCGAAGUCAAUGUGCCAACCGCAAGGAGGCAGUUGCCGAAGGUAUGGCUGGUGAUUGGGAUG